UUCUUAUUUCUUGUCUUUACUUGUUUUUAUCUCCUCUUCUAACUCAUUGUAUGAUUGCCAAAUUGCCUAAAAGAAAAAUUGGCAGCUUUCUACCAUUUUGUUUCUGUUUAAUUUAGCUCCUACAAGUGUGAAUUUCAGAUAUGAAGGUUUCUACUUUUAAUUAGGUCGUUUUUCUUGCAUAAAUCUUUCUUCAUUCCAGUGGGGACAUUUUCCUUGUCAAAGUAUUGUGUUUGUGUACUAUUAAAUUCUAAAGAUCAAAUUAAUCUUUUUAUGGAAAAUUAUAAUCACAUUUUUUUAUUGUGAGAAACUACAGUGUUUUUCUAGUCCUAUGACUCCAAAGACGAAAAUCUGUGGCCUUUUUUUUUUGUUCAUAAAUGUAUCUCUCCUAAACUUUAGAAACAUUAUGUUCAUUGUUAGUGACAAUUUGUUACUGGAUGAACCUUUGUAGAUUUUGUCUGUGACAUAAUGUUGAUUGGGCAUCCUAUACAAUGUUGAUUUGUGUUGUCUUUUAUGUACUAUAUGGGAUGCAUACCCUUGAUUACUAAUUACUCGAUUAUUAUAUGCUUAUAGAUGAGUGCACUUAACGAAAGACACAUUGCUUAUGUUAUUUGACAAG
rnacentral:lncRNA from 1 species